rnacentral:rRNA from 1 species
AUGAUCGACGUCCACGCCGCCGCGGGGACAAUGAGCGGCAAGCUGGUCGAGGCAAUAUGCGCCAUGAUCAACGAUGCCUGCCACGACGACGACGCAAAGGACUUGCAUGGCCAGAAAGGGAGAAGGCGGCGCGAGCGCGACGCCUGCAUCGGCAGCACCCGCUGCUACAAGCAGAUGCGCAGGCUCGGCAAGGGCUCCAGCGGCCGCGUCGUCAUGGCGCAGCACCGCGACACCGGCCAGACGGUCGCCCUCAAGACCAUCCACGCGCGCGGCGGCGCGAGGCGCCCCAACGUCGGCGAUCUGCUCAAGGAGGCCUGCGUCCUGGCGGCGUGCCGCGGGCACCCCAACCUCGUCGGCCUCCACGCCAUCGUGCGCGACCCAGGCACCAGGCAGUACUGCCUCGUCAUGGACUACGUCGGGCCCAGCCUGUUCCAUGCUCUGGACAGGCACGUGGAAGAGCACGGCCGCGCGUUCCCGGAGGCCGACGUGCGCCGGGUCAUGCGGCAGCUGCUCACGGGCGCCGCGGCGAUGCACGAGCGCGGCGUCAUUCACAGGGACAUGAAGACUGCAAACAUCCUCAUCGGAGAAGACGGCGGCGUCGUGAAAUUCUGCGACUACGGACUGGCGAUGCCCACGGCCAAGGCAGAGCCGCCGUACGGGCUGGCCGGGACGAUCCCCUACAUGGCGCCCGAGAUGCUGCUGGAGAAGCCGGAGUACGACGCGGCCGUCGACAUGUGGUCGCUCGGGUGCGUCAUGGCAGAGAUGCUCUCCAGCGAGGAGUUGUUCAGCGGCGAAAAGACGACGGGGCAGGUCGGCAAGAUAUUCGAUGUACUCGGUGCGCCGGGCAAGAAAACGUGGCAGCACUUCGAGUCCGCGCUCCGAGCUGACGAGGUGCGGCAAUGGCGGGCACGGCAGCGAGAGGUGCGGCGCCACGACCGGCUGCGAGAGCUGUUCCCCGAGGAGCUGCUGUCAUGGCACGGAUACCAUGUCUUGAAGGGCCUCCUUACCUGCAACCCCAGCAAGAGGCUGACAGCAGCCGCCGCGCUCCGGUGUCCCUGGUUCAAGGUCGACGGCCCUGGAACUGAUGAUGCUUCCGGUCACGGGAUCGGCGGCACGGCAUUAGCCAGGCACACUGCAUAG